GACGAACGCUGGCGGCGUGCUUAACACAUGCAAGUCGAACGGAAAGGCCCUGCUUUUGUGGGGUGCUCGAGUGGCGAACGGGUGAGUAACACGUGAGUAACCUGCCCUUGACUUUGGGAUAACUUCAGGAAACUGGGGCUAAUACCGGAUAGGAGCUCCUGCUGCAUGGUGGGGGUUGGAAAGUUUCGGCGGUUGGGGAUGGACUCGCGGCUUAUCAGCUUGUUGGUGGGGUAGUGGCUUACCAAGGCUUUGACGGGUAGCCGGCCUGGGAGGGUGACCGGCCACAUUGGGACUGAGAUACGGCCCAGACUCCUACGGGAGGCAGCAGUGGGGAAUAUUGCACAAUGGGCGGAAGCCUGAUGCAGCAACGCCGCGUGCGGGAUGACGGCCUUCGGGUUGUAUACCGCUUUCGCCUGUGACGAAGCGUGAGUGACGGUAAUGGGUAAAGAAGCACCGGCUAACUACGUG
rnacentral:rRNA from 1 species